AACGAACGCUGGCGGCAUGCCUAACACAUGCAAGUCGAACGAGACCUUCGGGUCUAUUGGCGCACGGGUGCGUAACGCGUGGGAACCUGCCCUUAGGUUCGGAAUAACUCCCCGAAAGGGGUGCUAAUACCGGAUAAUGUCUUCGGACCAAAGAUUUAUCGCCUUUGGUUGGGCCCGCGUUGGAUUAGCUCGUUGGUAGGGUAAAAGCCUACCAAGGCGACGAUCCAUAGCUGGUCUGAGAGGAUGAUCAGCCACACUGGGACUGAGACACGGCCCAGACUCCUACGGGAGGCAGCAGUGGGGAAUAUUGGACAAUGGGCGAAAGCCUGAUCCAGCAAGGCCGCGUGAGUGAUGAAGGCCUUAGGGUUGUAAAGCUCUUUUACCCGGGAUGAUAAUGACAGUACCGGGAGAAUAAGCUCCGGCUAACUCCGUG
rnacentral:rRNA from 1 species